AUUGAACGCUGGCGGCAGGCCUAACACAUGCAAGUCGAGCGAGCGGCGGACGGGUGAGUAAUGUCUGGGGAACUGCCCGAUGGAGGGGGGUACAUACUGGAAACGGUAGCUCAUACCGCAUACUCUCGGAUGUGCCCAAAUGGGAUUAGCUAGUAGGUGGGGUAAGGGCUCACCUAGGCGACGAUCCCUAGCUGGUCUGAGAGGAUGAUCAGCCACACGGGAACGGAGACACGGCCCAGACUCCUACGGGAGGCAGCAGUGGGGAAUAUUGCACAAUGGGCGCAAGCCUGAUGCAGCCAUGCCGCGGGUAUGAAGAAGGCCUUAGGGUUGUAAAGUACUUUCAGUCGGGAGGCGUUACCGACAGAAGAAGCACCGGCUAACUCCGUGCCAGCAGCCGCGGUAAUUC
rnacentral:rRNA from 1 species